GGUUGUGGCUCAGUGGUAGUGCACUCACCUAGCACAUGUGAGGCCCUGGGUUUGAUUCUCAGCACCA
rnacentral:tRNA from 1 species